rnacentral:lncRNA from 1 species
UGGACAUGAGGAAGGCUGACUGUGCUUCCUUUUAUUUUCCUGUGAGCAGAGUCAGAGGCUCCUGAAACAAAGCAGAUAAAACCAGCACUUUUAAUACAUGCUUCACUGGGCUCAGCCCUGAUUCAGAACUGCAGGAAGAACCUUCAUGGUUCCCAUCAUCCCACACAGCUUCACUGACUUGAAAGUUGUUCCAAAGAAAUUUUCAUGAGGCAGAGCCACCAGACAGCCUACUGCUCCUGUGCUCAUGGCUUGUGAAUCAUCUGCACUGAAGCUGCCUGGUUGGAGAACUGUGGCUGGUGUCCCAAGAACAAGAGGACUGUCCAAACUCGGAGGCAUAUCACUAUGGGCCACUAGAACGAGGGGGUCCAUUGGCCCUAAGGAGUUAUUAUUAGUAGGGAGAUUCCCUCCCAGAGAAGAGCUCACAGAAGUGACAUCAAUGGUGAGGAUCCCAGAG